rnacentral:rRNA from 1 species
AUUGAACGCUGGCGGCAUGCCUUACACAUGCAAGUCGAACGGUAACAGGUCUUCGGAUGCUGACGAGUGGCGAACGGGUGAGUAAUACAUCGGAACGUGCCUAGUAGUGGGGGAUAACUACUCAAAAGAGUGGCUAAUACCGCAUGAGAUCUACGGAUGAAAGCAGGGGAUCGCAAGACCUUGUGCUACUAGAGCGGCCGAUGGCAGAUUAGGUAGUUGGUGGGAUAAAAGCUUACCAAGCCGACGAUCUGUAGCUGGUCUGAGAGGACGAUCAGCCACACUGGGACUGAGACACGGCCCAGACUCCUACGGGAGGCAGCAGUGGGGAAUUUUGGACAGUGGGCGCAAGCCUGAUCCAGCAAUGCCGCGUGCAGGAUGAAGGCCUUCGGGUUGUAAACUGCUUUUGUACGGAACGAAAAGCCCUGGGUUAAUACCCUGGGGUCAUGACGGUACCGUAAGAAUGAGCACCGGCUAACUACGUGCCAGCCGCCGCCGAAA